rnacentral:rRNA from 1 species
UACAGAGGGUGCAAGCGUUAAUCGGAAUUACUGGGCGUAAAGCGUGCGUAGUCGGUUAUUUAAGUCGGGUGUGAAGCCCCGGGCUCAACCUGGGAAUUGCAUUCGAUACUGGAUAGCUAGAGUUCGGCAGAGGGAAGCGGAAUUUCCGGUGUAGCGGUGAAAUGCGUAGAUAUCGGAAGGAACAUCAGUGGCGAAAGCGGCUUCCUGGACCAGAACUGACGAUCGAGGCACGAAAGCGUGGGAGCAACAGG